GACGAACGCUGGCGGCGUGCUUAACACAUGCAAGUCGAACGGGGAAGCGCCUUCUAUUUUGGUGGGUGUGGAUGAGGGGCGAACAGGUGAGUAACACGUCGGUAACCUGCUCCCUAAUUCUGGAUAACCGCGGGAAAGUGUGGCUAAUACGGGAUAUACUGGGUAUGUCGCAUGCUGGGUCUGGGUAGGAUAUUGUUUCGGUGGGGGAUGGGCUCGCGGCCUAUCAGCUUGUUGGUGGGGUGAUGGCCUAUCAAGGCGGUGACGGGUAGCCGGCCUGCGAGGGUGGCCUGUCAGACUGGGGCUGAUGCACGGCCCCGACGCGUACGGGACGCAGCCGUGACUACUACUGGACGCUGCGGUGGAGCAUGAUGCAGCGUCGCCGCGACCCGGAUCGAGCCCUGCGGGUUGUGAACUUCAUUCGUUAGGGUUGCAGGGCUCCUUCGUCUGUGGGUAGGUUGACGGUACCUGGAGAAGAAGCCCCGGCUAACUACGUG
rnacentral:rRNA from 1 species